rnacentral:rRNA from 1 species
ACUCAAAGGAAUUGACGGGGACCUGCACAAGCGGUGGAGCAUGUGGUUUAAUUCGACGCAACGCGAAGAACCUUACCUGGGUUAAAUCCGAGUGAAAAGCGCAGAGAUGCGUUCCCCUCGCAAGAGGCACAAAGGAAGGUGCUGCAUGGCUGUCGUCAGCUCGUGUCGUGAGAUGUUGGGUUAAGUCCCGCAACGAGCGCAACCCUUACCAUUAGUUACCAUCAUUCAGUUGGGGACUCUAAUGGAACUGCCGGUGAUAAACCGGAGGAAGGUGGGGAUGACGUCAAGUCAUCAUGGCCUUUAUGUCCAGGGCUACACACGUGCUACAAUGGACGGUACAAACCGUAGCAAACCCGCGAGGGGGAGCCAAUCGGAAAAAACCGUUCUCAGUUCGGAUUGUAGUCUGCAACUCGACUACAUGAAGUUGGAAUCGCUAGUAAUCGCGGAUCAGCACGCCGCGGUGAAUACGUUCCCAGGUCUUGUACACACCGCCCGU